rnacentral:miRNA from 1 species
UAGUAAUUCUUCUUUGCAAAA